rnacentral:lncRNA from 1 species
AGAAUUAUACACUGAUUGUGAGCAGCCAGACCAAAACCUCUGAUGUGGCCAAGAACAAGGACUGGAAUAAAAUAUUGCUGGGAAUUUUUCAGUCAACUCAAUUCAGUGGAUAUUUAUUGAGCUCAUAUAACUCAUCAUGUUCAAGAAUGAAGAGAUCAAGAAUCCUCAACCACCAUCCUUCUGGAGAGCAAAUCUGUACAUUCUCAUAUUCAGAUUCAACCAAAAUGAGGCCAUAAGUGGAAAGAAAAAGUUGGGUGAGGUGGUGAAGACACAGUCCAGAGGAGUGUGACCUGGCCAAUUGGCUUCCCUUCUCAGGUAACGGGGAAAUUUCAGACUUGUGGGCAGAGGUGAAAAUUUCAGACUUGCGGCAGUGGUGACCAACAGCUGAAGUUUUUCUUCUUUUCCUUCACCCGUUCAUGUCCUGCGAGGCAGAAGGGAGUUCUGGAGGGAGCACACCCUCCAGUCUGGGAUUCAGCCCUCUCCUUUGCCAUAGUAUUUAUGAAUAUUAUCGGGGUCCUCACUAGGAACCCCGUUGCUGUGUGCAAACCGAUGGUGGACUCUAUUUUGGUUCUAAUCGUGAAAUAGCAACAAGUCUUUCCUCUCAUUAGCUUUCUGGCCUUCAUAUCAUCAGAUGUUGUGGGAAAUUAUGUGGAUAUAAAUCAAACCAUUUUCCUAAGAGCUGAGAGACACACGUGCAAGUGUUGCCAUGACUACCACUCCUCACCAGCAGCUGGGAGGGAAACUAGGGUACCACUUGAUGGUUCUUUUCUUUAUGAUGUUAAUAGUUUAACAUUCCUGUUUCAACUGAGUUAUUUUUCUUGGUUUCAUGUUUUGUUUUGUUUUGUUUUUACUUUCUUGAACUAAUAUCAUUUGUAUUAAUUCAUGAGCUAUGGUCUUUGAACUUUAAGGUGAAUGUAUGCACAGUUUUUGUAUAUAAAUGAAUAUGUUAAUUGUGGUAGAUUAAGUAUCAGAAGCUUUCAUGAUAUUUUCAAAGAGGUCUGUGCUGCAAAACAUGGGUUAAGUAUUAUUAACCUUGCUAAUAAAGGUGUCACUCAUACAGUCAACUUUAGGGUUUUAGCCUUAAGCCAUUAGGGCACCAUCUGACCCACAGUUUAAUGAGAUAUAAUAAAAGCUGGGACAACUACCCAGUUUGCCUAGGAAAUUGCUCCAGCUCUAUCACUCAAUUAGUUUAUUUCCUCCUUUCUUUAAUAGUCUAGAAUCCUUUGGCUUAAAACCUGGAUACUCUUCUUAGGUAUAUUACCUUAUUAUUGAUAAGAUGUUUGAACAGUCUGUCAUUUUAAUUUGUACCUUCUUUGCACCAAAAUCAAAAGAGGGAAUGAAAAUUGAGAAACUGGUAACCUUUUCAGUCUUCUCAGUUAGGCUUCCUUGAUAUAACUUCCAAGCUCUGAAUCCAGAAUCACAGAUUUUAGGGUUCCAGCCCUCUUACUGCCUGGGAAAGAAAUUUUGACAUGUAAUACAAGUUUUGGGCGUUCUGAGAAUAAAAUGACUUUCCAGAUCUGUCUUCCUUCAUCUAAUUCGAGGACACCAUUCCAUUCACUCAUGCCACGUGGAGCAUGUUUCUUUCAACAUCUAACACACAAAUGGGUUACCUUUGUCUUUUUACUUGGAUUGACUGGAUUGGUCCCAGAAGCUACCCCAAACCUGGUUUGAACCUUCCUAUUGUCUGGUUUCCUAAAGAUGAACCUUUCUUUCCAAGGCUACUUGGACUAUAGGAAAAUUGUAUCUUGAUUCCUUCUAACCUUUGCUCUAUCCUCCCUCUUAAAAUGCUUCAUCAGAUCUGACAAUAGCUCUCUUUUUGACUUCCAGAUAUGUGACCCUUUAGCAAGUCACAGCUUUUUUUCUUGAUCUUCUCUUUGAAAGCAAUCCAAUGGAUAAGAGAACCUUAACAUAUUUAGAAAUUUAUUGUCUUUAGACCUUCUAAAAAUAAGCUUCUGUCAUUUAUUUAGGACCUCCCAAUCUUGUUUAAAAAAAAACUGCAAACACAAAAAUGCACAAUGUUGGAGUAAUAAUAAAGCUUCUUGUGAAGCUAGGAGGAAAAUGAAAAUGACUUUUUCAAGUACACUAGAAAAUCUUGGGUGAAAUUGGGUUGUAUAACUUAUUCCCCAGAGGAAAGUGGGUCCUGUAUCCCAUGUAAUGACUCUCUGAUCUCUGAAGGCUAAGCUAAAAGUAAUCUCUACUCAGAGUCUAGUCAUUACUCUGUCAUUUUGACUUUUUGGUCACUUUGAGCCUUAAUUUUUUUAUGAUUUUUUUGGAUCUCAUAAUUACUUAGCUGGCUCACUGUAGCUACUGUAACUUUUGCAACUUUUAAAUGUUCCUUGAUACAGAAACACAUAAGCAUAAAUAUUCUUAAACACAUAAACAACUUCAUACAGCCACUAAAAGACAACAAAAAAAGGGAAACAUUGCUAUCUUCUGAUGAUCUAAGCCGCUUAAGAGAAGUGAGCAGUUUUUUGAAGUUACAUUAAUGUUUUCAAGUUCUAGGUUUCCAUUUAGGACAUUGAACCAAGAGUUAACAAUUUGGUAUUUAUAGGAAGCCAAAUAACCUGGAGAGAGAAGGAAAUAGAAUAAAGCAUAUGUCAGUGGUAACAUAAAUUAUCCUGAUGACAUGUUUUAACAGAAUGUUUACUUCAGAGCACCCUGUUUAGCCAAUUGAUUUUGAAGGUUGCCAACCAAAAUGGAUAAUUAGUAUCUAAUCAAGACAGCUAAAAUGAGUAGUUGGGUCCCAUCUUUGAGCAUGUAUCAUGUCCAAAAAAUGUUUUGAAUGAGUUUGACCUGCCUGACAGAUGUCAACUGGGACUGGGCCAUUUGUAAGGCUGCAUUAAGUAAAAAGAUAGCAAACUGCUUAGAACCGCAGAUUGAAUUCAUCAGCUGAACAAGAUGCUUCCAGAAUUCAGUCUGUGUCUCUGUAUGAGGACCUGAUAUUCUGGAACUGAGAUCAAAGAUUCCACUUACAGAAUAUGAAUUGACUUUACAGUUUUGAAGUAGCAUUUUUGGGGGUCUUUUUUAAAAAUUAAAGUAUUCUUGAUUUACAUUUUUUUUUUUUGUCUGCAACUGCAGCAUAUGCAAGUUCCCAGGCUAGGGGUCAAAUUAGAGCUGCAGGUCUACACCACAGCCAUGGCAACAUUGGAUCCAGGCGGCAUCUGCAGCCUAUGCCACUGAGUUAGCAGUUCUUGAUGAUCUUUUAAGGUAGUCUGUUCUUAUAGCAGAAGUCUUUUUCUUUUCCCGUUUCUUCCUUCUUCCCUCCCUUUCUCUUUCCCUCCCUCUCUCUCUCCUUUUUUUUUCUUUCUUUCUUUUUGUCACCUGUUGUUAACAUUUUUAUUGUCUCUAGUUAAUCUUCCUUUUUUUAUGUUCAGGAUAAGGUCUAAGUACCUGUUUUAAAGAUACCGUAUCAUAUUUACUCCAAUAGGAAUGUCUCCAGUAAGAUUGAGAAGGCAAACUGGGGAAAGAUUUUAGUAUAUUUUCAUGCUUCUAAUAAAUGAAAUCAUUUUACUCCCCAAAUUUACUUUUUCUUUAAUAAUCAAAAACAAUAUUGCUCAAAUCCAACAUCUCUUGGAGUUCAGUGCUUAGUUUUUUGUUGCAGUGGCAGGAGUCUUUCCCAUUAUGUGACUUUCUCCUUUCUCUUUUCAAAUAUCCUUGCUGAUCUAUUGCAUUUUUCUUUAGACCAUCCCACUUCCUAAUACUUCAAAACUGGAAAGUUACUUCACAUUUUUAGUAACUUGUGUUAAUUUUUAAAUAUUUUUUCUCAAACGUAUUUUAGCUGACAUAUAGUUCAUCAACUGAUUCUUUGCUAGCCCAGCUUCACCUCACUACACUUGUCAUGGUUUUCAUGUCUUUUUCUGUCUUCUUGGCUCAUGUUACUUCUUUUACUUUCUGUUCUUCUCCAACAAGAUAUAACCAUCUUUACCUCACACAGUUUCUAGCAUCUUCUUUUUUUUCCAGGGGAUUCCCAUAAGCUCUUUACACAUUAGCACUGUACUAAAGUUCGUUAUAUACCAUAGUUUCUUACUUAAGUAUCUAUGGUUCACAUGAUAGAGUGAUUUUAUUUAUAGCAAACAAUAGCUAAUUCUCCUCUAUAAUUCCAAUGGUUGGCACAGAGUAGAUUUCCAAAAUAUGCUGACUGAAUACAUUAACAUAAAAUUUAUUUUACUUCUUCAUUUAUUUAUUUGUGGGAUAAACACAGUGUUAGACUGCAUAUUGGCUUGUGAGAGCUAAAUGAUCCAUCAGCAGAUCUUAUGACUGUCUAUGUUCAAGCUCCUUCCAGAAACUUAUAGUAUGUCCCUAUUCCUCUAUGGUUCUUAGAAAUUUUUUUUUCACCUUUUUUUCUCCUCCUGUCUUACCAGCACACCAUACUUUAUCCAAACUGGACUGGGGAGCAGGGAGGUGGGAGGUUAUUUGAGUUCCUUUCUCUCUUCACAAUUUAAGCCCAGAGGGAUGAUGAGUAAAAUGUUUAAUGAGAUAUUGGAAACGACUCAGACCCAUCCAUUUCAAUCAUGAUCUAAUCAUUUAGUGAGAGAAGGAAGAUGAAAGAAUAGUACUAAUGUAAUGUCUGCACCAAUAGAAUACUAAAGCUCUCCAAAGGCAAAAUAAAGGGGGAGGAUCCCAUCCCACUUGAGGCUAAGUUGCAUCCGCCACUGAGAUUCAGGCAAACACAGGGAAAUUUAAUGAGCUAAUAUAAUGGGGUGGUCUGAAGACAUCUAUUCGCAUGAAUUUACAUGAUUAUCAUGGGACAGGUUGACUGCCAAAACAGAGGAAAGUGGGAUAAAAUGGAGAUGCAGAAGGCAGCAAGGUGCCUGUUGUAAGUAUUGUCCUCUAAUAACAUGUCAGGGACUCAUUUCUGAGAUUUAUGGAAGGAGAAACUUCAAGCAGGAUCCUGACCUUGAGACAAGGAGAGCUUUGUUGGCAGCGUACAGACAUCUGGAUAUAUAACAGUAGUAGGAAGAAGAAUAUUCCAACCCCCAAUCCGCACCCACCCCCAAAUAUAGUUGGUAAUAUCAGGAGAAUCAGGAGGCACAAGUAUUAGAAUCCUUUCAUUGCUUUCCAGGUAGUUAAUGCAACUGACAGAAUGGUUGUGAUACAUGUGACGCACUCUGAGCAUCAGUAAAAAUAAACAGGUGAAACUUCAUGGGGGAUGGUGCCUCUUAAGAUAUGAGUACAUAUGAAUCACAGGUAUCAACAUGAAUACACAUGCCUGAGAAGAGUGCCGGAAUAGAGGGAUGGAAAUAUUAAACCUGUUCAAAUUGGGUUAUCCUUUUUGUUUUUCUUACUCUUUUUGGUGCAUUAGAAAGAUUUUAACAUUCACAGAGACUCAGUUUUCUCCCAGUUCUAUUACUCUCAUCCCAGCACCAAAGUGCUGUCUUCACGUGGGGGAGCAUUUUAAAAUUAAGCCUCUAGUUUUGCCUUCAGGGAAGGACAAACAAGCUUUUUGGUAAUCAUUCUUGUCUGGUUAUGAUGUGCCAUCAAGAUCUACUAAGCAAGCAAAGAGAAAAAUUUAUUGACUAAGAGAUAGAGAUAGAAGGAUUAGGAAGGAAUAACAAAAGCAACUAGACAGAGAACUGUGGGUAGGAAAAGUAAAUGAAGAAGACAUCAACUCAGAAGCCUGCAAAGGUAUCUUGGAACAUUUGUCCAAGGAGCAAGGGUGGAGGUUGGGAAAGAGACCACUGCCCAUCAAUGCCAGGUCAGUAAACCUCAGGCCACUUUGAGGGGUACACUAGUUAGAAACUAUGAACAACAACAAUAGUAACCCUUUAUUUUUUCUCAUUGGGUUAUAGUUAGGCAGGUGGGCUCUGAUGAUCUGGGCUGGGUAUGACUGAUCCUAGGUAUGCUUGCUCAUAGGCCUGAAUUAGCUAUUAGGUUGGCUGGAGCAGGUCGAUCUGGAAGAGCCCUGGCUAGGCUAACUCCAAUGUGUCUCUGACAUCCUCCAUUAAGGUAGUGCUGGCAGACAGGAAAACAGAAUGUGCAAGUACUAUUUUCAAGUAUCUGUUUGAGUCAAACUUGUACUUCUCAUUGGCCAAGACAUGUCACAUGGUCAAGCCCAGUGUCACCAAGGGAGGGCACUAUCAAAGGCAUGAGUAUAGGAAUGUGGCAUUAUUCAGACUCCCAGGUGCCAUCUGGGAAGUUGACUCUGUUACACAACAGAGAUCCUAUCACCACCUGCACUCAGGACCUGCACCAGGUCUUCUUACCCACCGCAGAAUAGACACAGCAAGAAGCUUGGCUUGGUUGCAUCUGUAUCUCACUUUUGCCCUCACCUUAUGAUUUGAAAGUUUUGAUUACAAUAUUUUAAUUAAAUAGUUUAGUAGAAAGCUAAAAUGUACUGGUAAUGACAUAAUCCUUCAGAUAAAUUUAAAAAACCUUAAUCUCAGUUUUGAAUAAUUAUAAAUCUUAGUUUCAUUAAUUUCUAGUUUUGGAACAAAACUGCUUACUUAAAGGUACUUGUCAUUCUUUCCAUUCAGAGUUUAAGCAUAAUAUUAACUAUCAUCUUGGGCUGACCUCACAUGAAUUUAAUAUUAACAGCAUGAAUUCAAUGCUGUACAAAUAUGUGCAACUGAUAUAUGCUAUCCUUUUAUUUUAUCCAG